rnacentral:rRNA from 1 species
AUUGAACGCUGGCGGCAGGCCUAACACAUGCAAGUCGAACGGUAACAGGAAGCAGCUUGCUGCUUCGCUGACGAGUGGCGGACGGGUGAGUAAUGUCUGGGAAGCGGCCUGAUGGAGGGGGAUAACUACUGGAAACGGUAGCUAAUACCGCAUAAUGUCGCAAGAGCAAAGAGGGGGACCUUCGGGCCUCUUGCCAUUGGAUGUGCCCAGAUGGGAUUAGCUUGUUGGUGGGGUAACGGCUCACCAAGGCGACGAUCCCUAGCUGCUCUGAGAGGAUGACCGGCCACAUUGGAACUGAGACACGGCCCAGACUCCUACGGGAGGCAGCAGUGGGGAAUCUUGCGCAAUGGGCGCAAGCCUGAUGCAGCCACGCCGCGUGUGUGAAGAAGGCCUUCGGGUUGUAAAGUACUUUCGGCGGGGAGGAAGGGAGUAAAGUUAAUACCUUUGCUCAUUGACGUUACCCGCAGAAGAAGCACCGGCUAACUCCGUG